GACGAACGCUGGCGGCGUGCCUAAUACAUGCAAGUCGAACGCUUCUUUCCUCCCGAGUGCUUGCACUCAAUUGGAAAGAGGAGUGGCGGACGGGUGAGUAACACGUGGGUAACCUACCCAUCAGAGGGGGAUAACACUUGGAAACAGGUGCUAAUACCGCAUAACAGUUUAUGCCGCAUGGCAUAAGAGUGAAAGGCGCUUUCGGGUGUCGCUGAUGGAUGGACCCGCGGUGCAUUAGCUAGUUGGUGAGGUAACGGCUCACCAAGGCAACGAUGCAUAGCCGACCUGAGAGGGUGAUCGGCCACACUGGGACUGAGACACGGCCCAGACUCCUACGGGAGGCAGCAGUAGGGAAUCUUCGGCAAUGGACGAAAGUCUGACCGAGCAACGCCGCGUGAGUGAAGAAGGUUUUCGGAUCGUAAAACUCUGUUGUUAGAGAAGAACAAGGACGUUAGUAACUGAACGUCCCCUGACGGUAUCUAACCAGAAAGCCACGGCUAACUACGUG
rnacentral:rRNA from 1 species